GAAUUGUGGAAAUGAAGCCAUUUCUGAAGAAAUAUUUGUUCUGUUUGCGAUGGGGUCUGCAAGUUCUCAGUUGUUUCGGUCAAAAUCUCCAACCAAGUACCUUUCCCCUGGAAAAUAUAUAUGUGAUUUCUGUAAUCAUCUAUUCCACCCUGCUGUUUGUGUUUUUAAUUGGAAAUAUGCAGACAUAUCUGCAAUCCGGAGUGAAAAACCUGAGGACAUCAUCAACAACAUGAAGACGGAAGAUCGCUUAAAAUAAUUGAAGGAAGUGAGUGCCUCUAUUUCUGUAGUCUCUAAAUGUUUGCUCUAUUAUGUAACAUUAAUCCGCAUAUGAAACAAUA